UGACCACUCCAGUACUUCUUUGUUGAUUGAUCAGCAUUCAUAGCAAGGGUUUUGAAUUUCAUGGGAGAAAGAAGCAUACAAAUGUUUGUUUUGUGUGUUUCCUUGUUUAGUAUCUAAGUCGGUAUACUGGGAUCAAAGGUUCAGCCUCCUGGUGUUUAAAUCUUAAUCCUUGGGAAUGCCUGAUAAUCUAAUUUCAAUUUAGCUGAUAUGGUUCUGUUUAUUUGGUUUUGGUUCUGGUUAUGGUGUGUAGAGAAAUCUUACUGUCAGCAGUGAGCAAUAAUAUACCCACAUGCUAAUUUUGUCUUGCAUUUUGCGUCCAGCAGUAACCACACAGGUUCCUUCCAUAGCCUACAAUAAGGUUAUGAAAGCAACACCAUUCUUUUGCUGUUUGUAAAAUGUGCAUUUUUAAGAGCAAUAGCAUUUAGAUUAUGGAUAGUGUUGGAACAUGCAAAUACACAUGCAUGACAAUGCAGAGCAGUUUGGUAAAUCUCAUAAAUCUUUUCAUGAUUUCUUUGUUUGGAAACCAUCCUUCAUCGGUCCUUAAAUCUCAGUCUUGACAGACUGAGAUUUGGGAUGUGGAAACUGGAAAGUUUCCAGAACUACAGAAUGUGACCUCUGAAGAUGCAGGUAUAACAAGGGAGAGAAAAUGAGAUCAACCUGGCAACUGUAGAAGGUCAGAAACAGAAAUGAGUUCAAGACAUGUCAUUUAGGAUGUAAACCUUCCCAGUUUACGGCCUGAUCCCCCAAAGCAGUUUUAUACUAAAGUACUUCAAAUGAAGCUGGCUGGUACCCAUUUCCAUAACCUUUAGAGUGGAGACCAGAUUUUGCACAAAUUCAAGCAUAUGUGUUUCACUGUGAUAUUUUCAAGCUUUGUUUUUGAAAACCACCUGCUUUUACAAACACAUCCUUAAACCCUAACUGCUCAAGGCAACAAUGUUCAGAAUCUACUUGCUACACUCAGGAUAUUUAUAUAGCAUACUAUCCUGCUAGUAAUCCACAUCCAAUAGCAUCCAUAAUGGGGGGGCAGUUUGUAGGUCAGUGCAGAGCACAAACUUUGCAUGUAAACGGUCCCUAACAUUUCCAGGCAAGACUGGGAAGACUCCUGUAGAGCUACUGCCAUUCAGUGUAGACAAUACAAAGCUAUGUGAACUAAAGGUAUGACUUGGUAUGAAAUAGGUUCUUAAACUCCCAAUGCCUAGGCAGAUGUGAGGGACUGAAUUGGGAUAAUGUAAAUAUCAGUCUUUGCUAAUAUGUUCAAGAUGGAUAAUUGUUUUUACACAUGCAAUCACUUAAAUUCUAGUAGCUCUAGAUUAAAGCUUCCUUCAGAUGUUCAAAUGAAAGGGGGAGGAACAAUUUUACUUUUGAUGAAAUUGACACUUUUCUGAAGUUGGGAAUGGGUGGACCAACCUAAGUCUGAUUUGAGUCAGUUUCACUCAAUCAUACAUAGGUCGUGUUCCACCCUAUUUCUUCGUGGGUGCAUGAAAGAAGGCAUGCAAAAUCCAGAUGUAUAUUGUGCACAUUUUGUAUGUAUUCUUCCUGUAAACUGCACAUUCUUCCCAGUGUUUUUCAAAGUAUUUCCUCUAAAAUGCACAUUUUGCAUGCAUUUUGUUAAUGUAAAAAAAAUUGUUAGAGUCAGGUCUAUUUCUUCUUUUGAACAUCUGAAAAAGGUGGGUGAGUAGUAUUCUCUACAUUGAAAUGCAGCAAUGAAAUCCUGGUUAACUUUAUCACUGAAAAUCCAACCCUUGCAUCUCAGUCCUAAAAUUUAUUCCACUGAGUUCAUAGUAAGGCUGCAUCAGAUUGAAAAUGUAAGCACCCUAAAGCCCAUUGAAACACAUUCAAAACAUCAUGCUUAAUUCUACAUUAGAUUGUAGCAUGUAUCUCAUUGAUUUGGGUGACCCUCAACUUCUAGUAUGAUGAGAGGGCUGCAGAAUUUAACAAGGCAUCACAUAAAUCCUGCUUCCUUCACUGAACAUGCCUCCAAGGCACUGGUUUAGGACAGCAGCUUUAGCUCCUAAUUUGGUCUGCUGAUACGUGAUAUUAGCUACAUUUCUUUGAUCUACCUAGAAUGCUCCCAACAGGAUUUCCCAGGAGCUUCUACGAGUAUCUUUGUCAAGAUUUCCUUCCCAUGAUGCAACCAUUGAAAUAAAUUCCAUGUAUGCACUCAGAAAGAUUAAUCCCCUCUUAACAUCUUGAUUUCAGACUCUGUCUUGUUACAAAGGAAGGCUGUUGAUGCUUCUUCCGUUAAUUAUGCACAUGACAGGUAAUGCUGUCUGAAGACAAAAAUCAAGGCUGAGACAACAAUGCUUCGUGCCAUGUCUCAGCAGAUGGCAGGGGGAAAUGAUAAUAAAACAUUAUAUAUAUGGCCUCCAUUAAUAUUUAAGCAAUUUUCCUGAAGAACAGGACAAGCACACUCAAGCUGAUAAAGCAGAAGUGAUAAGUGGAGCUUAAGGUGUUGACUGGUUAACACCUUCUUCUCAGUAACAGGGCACUCCAUUUGUCUUUAACGUGCUUGGCAUAGCUUGCUUCCCAUCCCUUGUCCUUUGAAUUGAUCUGAGAGUGUUUGGAUUGUCUAAUGCAACCCUCACCAAACCAAGCAUGGGUCAGAGAGAGAAUGAGAGUGUGUGAGAGAACAGAUUGGCAGGAACCAGUUGAAACUUGCCUAUGUGAAAUGAAGAGGGCUGAAAGUAGGAAUGGUGGAGGAAUUUGAUCCUGUUCACAUUUAAGGGCCAACUUGCCCAAUUUUCACUCUCAGAGGCAAGUAUGAGAAACCCAGCCAUCCUUUGAAAUGCACAUUUAUCUGAAUUUUUCAAUGCAGUUCUCUGGCCAAGUAAUGUGUACAAAACUGCUAAAGUGAGCAUAAAAAUGAACACAGUGGUGAAAACUAUAC